CGAUUAAGCUAUUUAUCCAAUCUAUAUUGCGAAUAAAGAAAAAAAUAGUAUAUAAAUUUUAUAUUAUUCUUUUCGCAUUAACUUUUGUGUUAUUUCGUAUCAGUGAUAAACAAUGAUCAAAUCACACAGUCGUUAAUCUUAAUUUAAUUCGUACUACGCUAUACAUAUUACUUUUUGGAGGAUUGAUGUGAAUAAAAAGUAUGCGAAAUCUCGUAUUGAGUAAAAUAAAAAUGUGCCAAGUACAUUAAAAUCCUGAAAACUCGAGUUUAUAGGAAAUAUCGAUAAAUGAAUUACUUAUUAAUUAAUCGAAAU